rnacentral:rRNA from 1 species
UCUACGGAUGAAAGCGGGGGAUCUUCGGGCCUCGCGCUAUAGGGUUGGCCGAUGGCUGAUUAGCUAGUUGGUGGGGUAAAGGCCUACCAAGGCGACGAUCAGUAGCUGGUCUGAGAGGACGACCAGCCACACUGGGACUGAGACACGGCCCAGACUCCUACGGGAGGCAGCAGUGGGGAAUUUUGGACAAUGGGCGAAAGCCUGAUCCAGCAAUGCCGCGUGUGUGAAGAAGGCCUUCGGGUUGUAAAGCACUUUUGUCCGGAAAGAAAUCCUUGGCUCUAAUACAGUCGGGGGAUGACGGUACCGGAAGAAUAAGCACCGGCUAACUACGUGCCAGCAGCCGCGGUAAUACGUAGGGUGCGAGCGUUAAUCGGAAUUACUGGGCGUAAAGCGUGCGCAGGCGGUUUGCUAAGACCGAUGUGAAAUCCCCGGGCUCAACCUGGGAACUGCAUUGGUGACUGGCAGGCUAGAGUAUGGCAGAGGGGGGUAGAAUUCCACGUGUAGCAGUGAAAUGCGUAGAGAUGUGGAGGAAUACCGAUGGCGAAGGCAGCCCCCUGGGCCAAUACUGACGCUCAU